GUCUUCACAAGCUGGCCAGGUUGGGAUAUAUGGUUAUACAGCUUAUUCGGCCAGUAAGUUCGGCCUCAGAGGACUGGCAGAAGCACUGCAGCAGGAAGUAAUUGGUGAAAAUAUUCACGUAUCACUAAUAUUUCCCCCGGACACUGAAACUCCUGGAUUUGCUGAAGAGAACAAGAGGAGGCCAAAGUUGACUAGUAUAUUA
rnacentral:misc_RNA from 1 species